UACGUAGGGUCCGAGCGUUGUCCGGAAUUAUUGGGCGUAAAGGGCUCGUAGGCGGUCUGUUGCGUCGGGAGUGAAAACUUACAGCUUAACUGUGAGCGUGCUUCCGAUACGGGCAGACUUGAGGUAUUCAGGGGAGAACGGAAUUCCUGGUGUAGCGGUGAAAUGACGCAGAUAUCAGGAGGAACACCGGUGGCGAAGGCGGAUCUCUGGGCCUGUCCUGACGCUGAGGCGCGAAAGCUAGGGGAGCGAACAGG
rnacentral:rRNA from 1 species